ensembl:snRNA U6 U6 spliceosomal RNA
GCACUCACUUUGGCAGUACAUAUACUAAUGUUGCAACGAUAUAGAGAAAAUUAGCAUGGUCUCUGUGCAAGGAUGACACACAAAUUCAUGAAGCACUCCAUAUUUUA